CACACACUAGAUUUAUUAGACUCGUUUCGUCUUUAUUUUUUACUCGGCGAGCUUCGUGAAGAAGAAACUGGUGAUUUCAUCGCCUUCGAUCACUCCCUGAUUCACAUUGCCUUUCUUGUAGCCGCUGAGAUUGUAACCCGAAAAGCAAAUCAAAAUGGUCGUGCUUGCUGCUGCCAUUGUGGUUAAGUCUGGGAAAGGUGAAUUAUUAUUUCUAUCUUUUACAUU